CACAGUAGUCAAUAAAUUUGUGAAAAGCCUGAUCUUGGAAGUUAAGCAGGGUCGGGCCUGAUUAGUACUUGGAUGGGAGACCACCUAGGAAGACCAGGUGCUACAGGUG
rnacentral:rRNA from 1 species